GGUGUGGUGGCCAAGUGGUAAGGCGUUGGUCUCGUAAACUGAAAAUCAUGGGUUCAACUCCCAUCUGUACCU